rnacentral:rRNA from 1 species
GACGAACGCUGGCGGCGUGCUUAACACAUGCAAGUCGAACGGAAAGGCUCCAGCUUGCUGGAGUACUCGAGUGGCGAACGGGUGAGUAACACGUGGGUAAUCUGCCCUGCACUCUGGGAUAAGCCUGGGAAACUGGGUCUAAUACUGGAUAUGACCUUUCUCCUUAUGGGGUUUGGUGGAAAGUUUUUCGGUGUAGGAUGAGGCCGCGGCCUAUCAGCUUGUUGGUGGGGUGAUGGCCUACCAAGGCGACGACGGGUAGCCGGCCUGAGAGGGUGAUCGGCCACAUUGGGACUGAGAUACAGCCCAGACUCCUACGGGAGGCAGCAGUGGGGAAUAUUGCACAAUGGGCGGAAGCCUGAUGCAGCGACGCCGCGUGAGGGAUGACGGCCUUCGGGUUGUAAACCUCUUUCAGCAGGGACGAAGCGUAAGUGACGGUACCUGCAGAAGAAGCACCGGCUAACUAUGUG